ACCUUACCACCUCCUCACCUUUUUAACUCCUUGUCUUGUAUUUCUUCCCACCCCCUAUCCCAGAUCAGCAGUCUCCCCAUUGCUGCCUUUUGUUUUUGGGGGCUCCAGGAGUUUACAAGUGAGUCUUUUCUUCUAGAUUCCCCUUCACCACUGCAGCAUAAGGAAUCACAAUCGUAAUCUAAAAGCUAUUACUUUCCUCGUUUGGAAAUGUAUUUCUCUAAUACACUGAUAAUCUUAUUCAGAAAUCCUUAAGCCAAACACUGCAAUACAGCUGCAUAAUUUUCUCUGUGUUAAAAACUUCUGUCAACAAACCCAAACUUCCUGCUUUUUGCAAAGCAUGACUCAUGCUGUUUUGUCUGAGUGACAUAAGAGAUCUAUUUCAAUCAUAUGACAAUAACUUAAAAUCCAACCAGCCGUUUAUCUGCAAAUCAAAGCCUGCACUUGCAGGGCGGAUGGAUGUUAAUAGGAAUGACGUUUUACCUAACUCCACUUCAGAACUGCCUGCUUUUCUUGAUUAACUCGCUCUUAGAGUACCGAGGCACAGCAGUGAAAGCUCAGCAUGCCACCUCGUGGCUGCCCUGCACCAAAGGCCAUUAGUAGGCUACAGCGUGAUAGUUCAUGGCCUCUCAUCUCUCCCAGAAAACCUCAGAGCCUCAAAAAGACGCAUAUAAUGUAAUUAGUCCAUCACCACCUCUGCUGAUAUCUUUUCAUAAGCAGAACAGAAUCAAGCACCAGGUCAAACCAGAGAUGAGACGUAGGUGUUCCACUGAAGAAAUGACACCAAACUGGAGUUCGCAGGAUAAAAAAUUAGCAAUUCUCAGCACACCAUAUGUUAAAUAUUCUGGGAAAGAUUGUCUCGUG
rnacentral:lncRNA from 1 species